rnacentral:rRNA from 1 species
UACGUAGGGGGCAAGCGUUAUCCGGAUUUACUGGGUGUAAAGGGAGCGUAGACGGCAAAGCAAGUCUGAAGUGAAAGCCCCGGGCUCAACCCGGGAACUGCUUUGGAAACUGUUUAGCUAGAGUGCAGGAGAGGUAAGUGGAAUUCCUAGUGUAGCGGUGAAAUGCGUAGAUAUUAGGAGGAACACCAGUGGCGAAGGCGGCUUACUGGACUGUAACUGACGUUGAGGCUCGAAAGCGUGGGGAGCAAACAGG